rnacentral:tRNA from 1 species
CUUCUCAAAGACUUUUUGGGGGUUUAGCUCAGUUGGCAUCGGCUUUGCAGCCGGGGGUCAAGGGUUCGAGUCCCCUUAACCUCCAUUU